rnacentral:misc_RNA from 1 species
CAGACAUUAGACAUCACCGAAUUCAACUGUCCCCUCCUAAAACCCUAGUAAUCGAGUGUCGACUCCAGUCUCCAGUCAUCUCCUUCCCAUUUUUCUCUGUUAAAACUUAAAACCCUAGCAUAAACCAGCGACAUUCUCUCUUUCUUCCCCUCUAUCUAGUUUCCUCUCCAGGCAUCUUCUCUUCCAGGAAGAAUCAAAUAUGGUGAAAAAGAGCAAAAAAAGUAAAAGUAAGAGAAUUCCAUUGAGGCAGAAGUAUAAGGUUUUAAGGAAGGUCAGGCAGCAUCACAAAAAGAAGGCCAAGGAGGCGAAGAAGCUUGGAUUGAAUAAAAAACGCAAGGUCGAGAAGGAUCCUGGUAUUCCUAAUGAUUGGCCAUUCAAGGAACAGGAGCUCAAGGCUCUUGAAGCCCGUCGGGCUCGUGCUCUUGAGGAAUUGGAGCAAAAGAAAGCUGCUCGCAAGGAGAGGGCUCAAAAGAGGAAGUUGGGGUUACUCGAGGAUGAUGAUAUCUCUAAGUUUGCUGAUUUAGCUUCAGCAAAAGAACAAAAUUUUGAAGAGCGAAAUAGCAAUGAUGAUGUUGGUGGAAUUGCCAGAAAUCGUGACAAUUCAGAUAGGGUAUUCUAUAAGGAGUUGGUGAAAGUUAUUGAAGAAUCAGAUGUCAUAUUGGAAGUCCUUGACGCCCGAGAUCCCCUUGGUACCCGUUGUGUUGAUAUGGAAAAGAUGGUGAUGAAAUCAGGUCAUGACAAGCGUCUAGUGCUGCUCCUAAAUAAAAUUGAUCUUGUCCCUCGAGAAGCUGUUGAAAAAUGGCUUAAGUAUCUUAGAGAAGAAUUGCCUGCAGUUGCCUUCAAGUGUAGUACCCAAGAGCAGAGAUCAAACCUAGGGUGGAAAUCUUCCUCAAAAACAGCAAAGACCAGCAAUCUUCUGCAAACAAGUGAUUGUCUUGGAGCUGAAACCCUUAUCAAAUUGCUGAAAAAUUACUCAAGAAGUCAUGAUAUCAAAAAAUCUAUUACAGUUGGUGUCAUUGGACUGCCUAAUGUUGGUAAGAGUAGUCUAAUUAACAGCUUAAAGAGAUGUCAUGUUGUCAAUGUUGGUGCUACUCCUGGGCUAACAAGAUCAAUGCAAGAAGUUCAGCUAGACAAGAAUGUUAAAUUACUGGAUUGUCCUGGUGUUGUAUUGCUCAAGUCUGGGGAGAAUGAUGCAUCUAUAGCUCUUCGCAAUUGCAAAAGGAUUGAAAAGCUAGAUGAUCCAAUUAACCCAGUGAAAGAAAUUCUCAAGCUUUGCCCGGCCAGACUGUUGGUAACCCUAUACAAGAUACCAAACUUUGAAUCAGUUGAUGACUUUCUGCAAAAGGUGGCUACUGUCAGGGGUAGGCUGAAAAAGGGUGGUAUUGUGGAUGUUGAAGCUGCUGCUAGAGUUGUUCUGCAUGACUGGAAUGAGGGUAUGCUUUCUAGGUACUUUAAUGCUUAAAUACAGACAAAUACAAGAAAGACGCGAAUGACAAUUUAUAGAAGAGAAAUUCAGUUCUGAUUUAAAAGGACGUUACUUAUUUGACAUAUUUUAGGUAAAAUCCCAUAUUACACGAUGCCUCCUACUAGGAAUCAAGAUGAACCUUCUGAGGCUAAGAUUGUUUCAGAGCUUGGAAAGGAAUUUAAUGUUGAUGAAGUUUACAGUGGUGAAUCCUCGUUCAUUGGAAGCCUCAAGUCGGUUAAUGACUUCCAUCCUGUUGAAGUUCCUCCUAGUUGCCCUAUCAAUAUCGAUGAAAGUAUGCUAGAGGGAGAUAUGGAAACCCAGCCAUCAACUCAAGGUGAUGAAACUUCCGUAGAUACGAAAGACGAUGCCGAAGACCAGUAUAUGGGUUCUGAAGAAGAUGCAAACAAGAGCAAGGCAAAAGCAACAACUAGCAAACAAAAUGAGAAGCUAUAUGCAGUAGAAGGUAUACUAAAUACAAAAAUGAAACGAGCAGAGAAGAAAAGGAGGAAAAAAGCAGCGAAAGUGGAUGCAAUGGAUGAUGACUAUGACUUUAAAGUGGAUUAUAUCAAGAAAAAGGGUUCUGCCAUGGAUGUGGAAGAAGAGAGUGGUAAAAAGGACGAUGAUAAUCAAAUUAUUGGCAAGGUGCUAAUGUCUGGUGUUGAGUUUGAUGAUGAGUGAUGGAAUACAUAGCCCAUAAGGGGCUUUCAUUUUAUCAGGUGUUACCUUUUUGUCAAUUGUUUAGUUUUAUGGUCAUUCUUUUAAGUGCGCAAUAAUCACAUCCAAAUAUGAACUCUGCUUGAUGCAAGGAAAUUUUGUUAAGAGCAAAGAGCUAUUUAUUUUUAUCAAUACUAAUCUCUGAUGUCUCUUAUCUCUAUAACCCAAAAGAAUAGUACAUCCAGCCCUGUGUGUAGAUUGUAGAAUAUAAAUUUCACAAAUUUGAAGAAUAUCUUGAGUUUGUAAAAUAUUUAUUCCAAGAACAAUUAUUUUACAUUGAAAAAUUAACAAGAAGCUAAAAUUACCAAUUCCGCAAGGUACUCCUCUAUUUCCUCCAAUUGCAUAUUAUUUUGUAAACCAACUGAAAAGAUUUCACAUCCAACAAGCAAGCGAGCUGACAUUUUUCCCUCGAUUAACGCAUUUUGGCAUCAAUUGAAGUUUAACAGCCUCCAACUUUCAGAUGCCAUAAUAUUAGUAAGGGUAAUGAGAAAAAAGGAUAGGAUAUGUAGAAUAUGAAGAUACAAGUUCAGUCAUCAUCUGACACCCCAAAUACAGGGCCCUCUGCAGCAGGAUCUAGACCCGUCUCA